rnacentral:lncRNA from 7 species
AGAAGAAUCUACACAGGAACCAUUGCAAGACCCGACAGGAAAAUAACCAGACUUGACAACAUGAUGGGAACUCAUUCAAGGCUGUGCCGUAUCUACAGGAAGGAUGGGAACGCACAGCGCUGAAGCAAACACACGGAGACCACGUUUCAACCCUCGCCUCCCCUGUUAUUCUGCAUAACACAUGAAGCACACCAGACAACAGCUGACCUGCAGCUGGUUGGGAAUGCCCCACAGCAUCGGUUCAAGCAUGUUGCCACGUGGUUCAGUCCUGGGGGUCAGGAAAGGAAGAGAAGGGUUCAACGAUGCUGCAAAUUCCUUGUUUGAGAUUCCCAUCACAGCCAGUAUCCUUAAAACCACAGUUUGAUAAUACUCCUGAAACCUGGCUGCGCAUGAUGCAGUAUUUCAACACAGAUGACUACAGUGGGAGGUAAAUGGACAAAUCAAACUCCAAAUAGAGUAAACCAUGAACAGUGACGGUACCUAUGUUGCAGCAAAAUGCAAAACAACUUCAGUUGGACGAUGUGUUCCAACCGGAACUAGAUCUGAAAUUAAUUCCUCACACCUCCUCCUUUCCAACUCCCAAGCAGCAGCCCAGCCAGGUGCUGUAUUUCCAGUGGGUUUCUUUUCCUUGGACUCUCAAUUCACAAAUAACAUGUAGCUUCCUGGGGAAAGAGGAGAAACCUAGGGAAAUCUUGCCUUUUACUUCUGCUACCCUCUGCCAUCAGCAGCUUUCUCUUAUAGCCUAGAAAUGACCAAUAUCAAUUUUCUGUCGGUUUCACCCCCUUUACAUAUGGCUGUUUUCCCCAGAGAGAGCUAUUUUCCUGCUUCUGUUCAUCAUCAGCUCCUUCCUCCCUUAGCUUUGUCACUUUGUGCCAUUUCUUCUUGCUUGGCCUGGCCUCCUCUUUCUUACCUUUCUUCCUGCUCAAUCCCUCUUUUAAAACAGACUUCUUUCAGGUGUGUUUACAGGGUAUCCUGAUUGGAGUGUGAUCUACAGCUCUCUGUGGUAAUGGCCUCAAUUUCACGAGCUUCUAAAGCCUCAUUUGCAUCAACAACACGGUGUAAAUGAUAACAAUGACAUUUUUUCAGCAGUGGCUGAGUCAUUUGCUGUAACAACUAAUUUAUGCCAAAGAAUUGUCUCUUCUUUUUCUUUAUACAUAAGUUGUCCACAAAAAAAAAGGUAGCGAAGUUCUCAGUUAGUCAAUAUGAUUCAUUCACUUCUUCCCUGACUCACUGCUAAAAUAAUUCUUAUGAAUAAAUCCUGCCUAGCUUGCCUGCUCUAUGACAAUUAAAAGCAAAUAAACCAAGCUCACAAUUUGUGCU